CGCCAUUUUCCUGCCUCAGCCUCCGGAGUAGCUGAGACUACAGGCGCGCGCCACCACGCCCAGUUAAUUUUUGUAUUUUUAGUAGAGACGGGGUUUCACCAUGUUAGCCAGGAUGGUCUGGAUCUCCUGACCUCGUGAUCCGCCUUUUCCAGAGUUUCUAAGUUUCAAGAAGUGACGAUCAGAACACCUGUGUGGCAACAAAAACUUUGGCCCCAGCAGUUUCUCACUCUCCAGCUACUCCACUGGCAACUUCCAACAAUUUGUCAAAGUGACCACUUGCAUGCUCUUGCCAGUCUAUGGCUCCAGUUGCUUCUGUUCCAGGAAGAAGCAAAGAAGUCUAAGUUCUUUGGAGUAAGAUGCUCUCAAAUGCCUAGGAACACUGAUCUCCUAACUUGUCUUCCUGCUUUGAGUGUCCCUCUGAGGUUAAAGUUCCUGCCUCAGUCUCCAACAAUGACUAUAAGCCUCUCUGGGCAAGAUCCACGUCUUACUCAUUUUUGUGUCUGCAGUUUAGUUCCUGGUUCAUUGUAGGUUCUCAAUAAACGUUUGUUAGAAUGAGUUGAUCUCUUGGAUCCAGUGCCCCAGAAAGAUAUGUAAGUACUAUUUUUAUCCUUUCCCAUUGUGUGUCCACCUUCUCUCCAAUCCUAGAUCACCAAAAGUGAAGCAGAAGUGAUGAGAGUAGCAAUUUGUAGUAUCAAAACGACUUCUUAUAGUGCACAGAAAGCCCAGCACUGUCUCGUAUGGGAGACUCGUGGUUCUGCCACUGUCUUGCUGGGUGACCUGAGAUAACUUCUUUUCUCUCUGGGUCUGAUUCCUCACAGGUCAUUUCCACUGCUGCCCACUGAGGAGUGCCACUGGAGAUGAUCUCACAACAAAGAGAGGGGGAGAGGCUGCUCCUCCCGUCAGAAGAUGGAGACUGCUUCCUUGCCCUUCAAUCCAAGCUGGCUCAUGACUUGCUUCAAUGAAUAGGAAAUGGCAGAAGUGAUGCUCUGAGGCUUCUGGGCCUAGACUUUAAGAGGUGUUGCCCCUUUCCUUUUUCCCUCUUGGGAUCCAGCCUACCACAUAGAGAAGUUUGGGUUGACAACUAAAUGUGAGAGAGAGACAGACAGAGAGAAGAGGGAGAGCUGAUUCAGCUAGACCUUAGUCAUUCCAGCCAUCCUAGCUGAAGCACUAGCAUGUGAAAGAAGCCACCUUCUAACCUAUCAAUCAGAGCCCCCAAUUUUACUGACCUCAGUCAACACCAUGUGGAACAGAACUACCCCAGGGAGCCCAACCAACCCAUACAAUCAUGAGAAAUUAAAAACUGAUGUUGUAGCCUCCUGAGUUUUAAGGUAGUUUGUUACACAAAAAUACUGGAAUUUUGACCCACCUUCACCUCCAAUGCCAACCUAGUAAACCUGGAUAUAUCUUUCAAAAUUUGGCUCAAGUGUCAACUCUUUCAUGAACCCUCUGUAUCCUUUUCUUGCUCAUUCAAGCCCUAUUUUCUCUUCUCCUCCCCAAAAUUCCAUAGUACUUUGUAUUACAAACUAUGUGCUUACAACCCCCAAAGUCUCUGGGCAUCCAGAAGGCAGAGAUUUGGCUUAAUUCAUUUUUGCCUCUGCCUAGCCUAACACCCGGCACAUUUAGAUAUUUAGUUAUUGUUUGCUGAAUGAAUGGAUGCAUGAAGAAGAAAAUUUAACAGAUGAUAUCUACAGGCACAUCUGGCUCCAAAAUUGAAUCAUGUCAUCUAGCAAUGCUCAGUAAAGUUAACAUAAGCAAUUUC
rnacentral:lncRNA from 10 species